GGGUGUGAUCAUGCCAACACUAAUUCACCGGAUCCUAUCAGAACUCCGUAGUCAAGUGUGCUUGGGCGAGAAUAGUACCGGGAUGGGUGACCCCUUGGGAAGUCCUCAUGUUGCACCCC